rnacentral:lncRNA from 1 species
CAUCUCACCUGUGUCAGGUCCUUAAAAAGGAGAGCAGUGACACAGAACUCACAUCACAGGGAGGCUCAUUGAAGAAGUUUGUGGAGGUCUUAAGUGAGAUAACUGACAAUUUCAGAAGGUGACCCUCACCAUGGCAGGGUUGAUUAUUUUCCUGCUGCUCAGUGCUGCCUUUUCUCUGGGAGAUCCACAUUGGCGUAAGAGUGGCCUUCAUAUUUCAGCAUAGUGUGUGAUUAACUGGUCUGGGGAAAAAUCUUCAACAUUUCAAUGCAAGUUGUUGGUUAGUCAUGGCUCUUGUAAAUUUGUUUUUGAAUGUACCCAGUUAUUUUACAACCACUAAUUUAGAUCUUUUUCUUACGGUUGUUUUACAGGGCCACACAGGUGCCCUGGGGAAUGGCGCCAGUUUGGUUCCCAUUGUGUCAUUUUCGAUGAGACUCCAAGAUCUUGGGCGGAUGCGGAGGUAGCCCCCUAACUCUAGACUGGGGUGGAUAAACAUGACCGCACAUCACUGGUUAAAUGACAUUGUCCAUCUUUGCCUCUUCCUUCAGUUCCACUGUCAGUCUCUUGGUGGACACCUGGCCUCAGUACACAGCUGGCUGGAGUCUAUAUUUCUGGAGGCGUUGACUAUAGAUUUACCUUUGACCUGGAUUGGAGGAACGGAUGGUGGUCAGCCAGAGAUGACACCGUACAAGAGCUGGUCCUGGACUGAUGGCUCUGGAUUUAAUUACCGACAGUGGGCAGAAGGAAUGCCUAACAACUCUAUUGCUGGAGAGUCUUGUAUUCAGAUGAAUUUUGGAGGUACAGUCAUUCACUGA